UAUAUACUCCCUCCGUCCGAAAAAGUUUGUCCCUCAAAUGGAUGUAUCUAGCAUCAAGUUAGUGCUAGAUACAUCCAUUUGAGGGACAAGCUUGGGACAAGCUUUUUCGGACGGAGGAGUAUAUG
rnacentral:pre_miRNA from 1 species